rnacentral:rRNA from 1 species
CCUACGGGUGGCAGCAGUGAGGAAUAUUGGUCAAUGGGCGGGAGCCUGAACCAGCCAAGCCGCGUGAGGGAAGAAGGUACAGCGUAUCGUAAACCUCUUUUGUCAGGGAACAAAGGCGGGGACUAGUCCCCGGAUGAGGGUACCUGUCGAAUAAGCCACGGCUAACUACGUGCCAGCAGCCGCGGUAAUACGUAGGUGGCAAGCGUUGUCCGGAUUUACUGGGUGUAAAGGGCGUGUAGCCGGGCUGACAAGUCAGAUGUGAAAUCCGGGGGCUCAACCCCCGAACUGCAUUUGAAACUGUUGGUCUUGAGUAUCGGAGAGGCAGGCGGAAUUCCUAGUGUAGCGGUGAAAUGCGUAGAUAUUAGGAGGAACACCAGUGGCGAAGGCGGCCUGCUGGACGACAACUGACGGUGAGGCGCGAAAGCGUGGGGAGCAAACAGGAUUAGAUACCCGAGUAGUC